GGACGUCCGGCUGGCCUCUGUGACCAACGAGUGACCACAGAGCGGAGAGCGCCAUAAAACAGCUUGUUUUCCUAAAACGCGGAGGUUGCGCUAAUCCGAACCCCAAGAGGUCUCGACCAGGGUCUCGGCUUGGCGUGUGACUCCAUUUGGUCCACACACCCACUCAUCCAUGCCCCGUUGUGUGGAAUCCACUGAAUACAUACGGAAGUGUCUGCUUUACCAGAUACACUAUGGCAAGGAAAUGGCCACCUAAGCAAAAUGGGUGUGGUUCCUGAGCAAGAAGCUCCUUCCUCCUCCAAGUACAUCCUAAAGCAUAAAUGAACGAGCCGAAAGAAAGUCUUAGGCACGGUUGUAUAAGCAAAGGAGAUUAAAGAAAACAAAACAAAAUAAAAAAACCCAACGCAAUGGCUAAACAACAUAAAGUGAUGCAGAGGGGCCUGUGCCUUGCUGACAGUCUACCCAUGGUUUUAAAGGCUUGCAGAGUAGCAGCAGGAGGCUGAUGGAGGACUAGGUGUGUAUGUGUGCAGACCUAACGAGCCCACUGAGGAAGCAGCUAGGCCUCAGCGGUCUCCCCGGAGGGAGUCCUGUGUGCUGGCUUGGGCAGCUGACUUCUCGCUCUCUCUUCCAUCUUCUGGUUACUAUCUGUUCUGCACUUGUGGUCCUUGGAGGCAGACAUCUUCAGUCACUUAACACAUCAACUCUCCUAAUCACUGUGUUUCAGGAGAUAACCAGUUUUGAGUAUUGGUUUCCUUUGGCGAGGACUUUCAACUUCACAGAUUAAAGAGGGAGGUCUGGGGUUCAAAGAGCAUAUUUCCACCACUCCUACAUUAAACAGCAAUGUAUUUAAUUGGGUGGAGAUGAGGAAAAUGUUGAAAGCUUUUGAAAAACUUGAACUUAGAAAAACUAGAAAUGGCCCCUAAAACCGAAAGAUCUCACAAUCAUAAAGGAGAAAAGGCCACGCAACCCUUUCCUUCUCAGGCAUGUAGGCAAUGACAUAAAACGGUUUCUGAUGUGUCUUGUAUCAGGCUCCAUCCCAAAGCGAUGGCUCACGGCAGUGUCACCCUGUGGCCCAGGUGGAGGGGCUUCACGCCUUCCAGUAGUAAUGCUCUCCGUCCAUUCAGUGCAUGGGCAGGGGCAGACGUGUCCUCUGCAGCAACACUUUCCACCCACUGUCAAGCUUCAGAUAACUGUUUUUCUUUCAACUAUAAACACCUAUAUUCUUUUGGGGUGGGGCCUUCCUGUCACUCAGGCUCCAACAAUCCUCCUGCCUGUUUCCCAGCUAGCUGGGCCACACACAUGUACCACAGCACCAGCCUCAAACUUUCAGAAAUUAAAAAGCAAUCUUACAUCAAAGAAAACACACAGCCAAAAAGAAAACAAGGCUACAACUAACAUUCACUUUAUUCAAUUCUGUUCUCUUAACUCGGAAGGCAACAAAUGACCACAUAAAAAAGGGAGCAUUUUUGAAUAUAUACACAUAAAAUUGAUCUGGGUACAGGUGUUUACUGUAAUAGAAAACCGACCUCCCACAUCACUAAGUGUUCUAAUUCACUCCUAAACAGACACCCCUAGGCCUUAGUCACUCAUUUCCAUCUAAGGUUCUAUAGGAUUGUCAUGAUUACAAAAUGAGGCACUCAGACAGAUAGACAGGAAUGGAGACAUACAUACACAUGUAUACUGUCUUAUUUUUAUAUUAAUGCCAAAGCUAUUAUUGGAGAGUAUCUGAAGAAGCCCUUACUCACGACAGCUGUUUUAAAUCUUUGACAACAACAGCAAUAAGCUGAAACAAAACAUCUGAUUGACAGGGCAAAUUAAGUGCCCCGCUACAGGGCAAUUUAAGCAAA